CCUGGCUCAGGAUGAACGCUAGCUACAGGCCUAACACAUGCAAGUCGAGGGGCAGCAUGGGCUUAGCUUGCUAAGCCUGAUGGCGACCGGCGCACGGGUGAGUAACGCGUAUCCGACCUUCCGGCGGCCCGGGUCCAGCCUUUCGAAAGAAAGAUUAAUCCCCGAUGGUGUCAGGCAGUUCCAUGACAGCCUGACUAAAGAAUUAUCGGCCGCCGAUGGGGAUGCGUUCCAUUAGCUUGUUGGCGGGGUAACGGCCCACCAAGGCGACGAUGGAUAGGGGUUCUGAGAGGAAGGCCCCCCACAUUGGGACUGAGACACGGCCCAAACUCCUACGGGAGGCAGCAGUGAGGAAUAUUGGUCAAUGGGCGCGAGCCUGAACCAGCCAAGUAGCGUGGAGGAUGACUGCCCUACGGGUUGUAAACUCCUUUUGCAGGGGGAUAAAGUGUGCCACGCGUGGCAUAUUGCAGGUACCCUGCGAAUAAGCAUCGGCUAACUCCGUGCCAGCAGCCGCGGUAAUACGGAGGAUGCGAGCGUUAUCCGGAUUUAUUGGGUUUAAAGGGAGCGCAGACGGCCCCUUAAGUCAGCUGUGAAAGUUUGCGGCUCAACCGUAAAAUUGCAGUUGAAACUGUGGGGCUUGAGUACGGUCGCGGCAUGCGGAAUUCGUGGUGUAGCGGUGAAAUGCAUAGAUAUCACGAAGAACCCCGAUUGCGAAGGCAGCAUGCCAGCCCGCCACUGACGUUGAGGCUCGAAGGUGCGGGUAUCAAACAGGAUUAGAUACCCUGGUAGUCCGCACGGUAAACGAUGGACACCCGCUGUCGGCGAUAUACAGUCGGCGGCCAAGCGAAAGCGUUAAGUGUCCCACCUGGGGAGUACGCCGGCAACGGUGAAACUCAAAGGAAUUGACGGGGGCCCGCACAAGCGGAGGAACAUGUGGUUUAAUUCGAUGAUACGCGAGGAACCUUACCCGGGCUUGAACUGCGCCUGAAUGUGCCGGAAACGGUGCAGCCGCAAGGCAGGCGCGGAGGUGCUGCAUGGUUGUCGUCAGCUCGUGCCGUGAGGUGUCGGCUUAAGUGCCAUAACGAGCGCAACCCCUUCCGGCAGUUGCCAUCAGGUGAUGCUGGGUACUCUGCCGGUACUGCCAUCGUAAGAUGCGAGGAAGGUGGGGAUGACGUCAAAUCAGCACGGCCCUUACGUCCGGGGCUACACACGUGUUACAAUG
rnacentral:rRNA from 1 species